rnacentral:rRNA from 1 species
GAGUUUGAUCGUGGCUCAGGAUGAACGCUGGCGGCGUGCCUAAUACAUGCAAGUCGAGCGAACAGACGAGGAGCUUGCUCCUCUGACGUUAGCGGCGGACGGGUGAGUAACACGUGGAUAACCUACCUAUAAGACUGGGAUAACUUCGGGAAACCGGAGCUAAUACCGAAUAAUAUAUUGAACCGCAUGGUUCAAUAGUGAAAAACGGUUUUGCUGUCACUUAUAGAUGGAUCCGCGCCGCAUUAGCUAGUUGGUAGGGUAACGGCUUACCAAGGCGACGAUGCGUAGCCGACCUGAGAGGGUGAUCGGCCACACUGGAACUGAGACACGGUCCAGACUCCUACGGGAGGCAGCAGUAGGGAAUCUUCCGCAAUGGGCGAAAGCCUGACGGAGCAACGCCGCGUGAGUGAUGAAGGUCUUCGGAUCGUAAAACUCUGUUAUUAGGGAAGAACAAAUGUGUAAGUAACUAUGCACGUCUUGACGGUACCUAAUCAGAAAGCCACGGCUAACUACGUGCCAGCAC